rnacentral:misc_RNA from 1 species
AGCAGCCGCGGUAAUUCCAGCUCCAAUAGCGUAUAUUAAAGUUGUUGCAGUUAAAAGCUCGUAGUUGAAUUUCGGGGUUAGUAGGUUGGUCGUGCCACUGGUACGUACUGGUCUCACUGAUUCCUCCUUCCUGAUGAACUGUAAUGCCAUUAAUUUGGUGUUGCAGGGAAACUGGACUGUUACUUUGAAAAAAUUAGAGUGUUUAAAGCAAGCUAACGCUUGAAUACAUUAGCAUGGAAUAAUGAAAUAGGACGUUCGAUCCUAUUUUGUUGGUUUCUAAGAUUGACGUAAUGAUUAAUAGGGAUAGUUGGGGGCAUUAGUAUUCAAUUGUCAGAGGUGAAAUUCUUGGAUUUAUUGAAGACUAACUACUGCGAAAGCAUUUUGCCAAGGAUGUUUUCAUUAAUCAAGAACGAAAGUUAGGGGAUCGAAGACGAUCAGAUACCGUCGUAGUCUUAACCAUAAACUAUGCCGACUAGGGAUCGGAUGAUGUUAAUUUUUUAAUGACUCAUUCGGCGCCUUA